GAUGAACGCUAGCGGCAGGCCUAAUACAUGCAAGUCGAACGGUGUAGCAAUACACAGUGGCGCACGGGUGCGUAACACGUAUGCAACCUACCUUACAUUGGGGGAUAGCCUUUCGAAAGGGAGAUUAAUACCGCAUAAGACAGUAACUAGGCAUCUAGUAGCUGUUAAAGAUUUAUCGAUGUAAGCUGGGCAUGCGUCCAAUUAGUUAGUUGGUGAGGUAACGGCUCACCAAGACGAUGAUUGGUAGGGGAACUGAGAGGUCAAUCCCCCACACUGGCACUGCGAUACGGGCCAGACUCCCACGGGAGGCAGCAGUAGGGAAUAUUGGGCAAUGGGCGCAAGCCUGACCCAGCCAUGCCGCGUGCAGGAAGAAGGCGUUAUGCGUUGUAAACUGCUUUUAUACAGGAAGAAACGACCCUUGCGAGGGGCAUUGACGGUACUGUAUGAAUAAGCACCGGCUAACUCCGUGCCAGCCGCCGCGGUAACAC
rnacentral:rRNA from 1 species